GAGUUUGAUCCUGGCUCAGGACGAACGCUGGCGGCGUGCUUAACACAUGCAAGUCGCACGGGGCAGCAAUGCCCAGUGGCGAACGGGUGCGUAACACGUGAGGAACAUGACUUCCGGUGGGGGAUAGCCGGCCCAACGGCCGGGUAAUACCGCAUACGCUGCGCGAGGGGCAUCCCUCGUGUCGGAAAGCAGCAAUGCGCCGGAAAGGUGCCUCGCGGCCUAUCAGCUAGUUGGUGAGGUAAUGGCUCACCAAGGCGACGACGGGUAGCUGGUCUGAGAGGAUGAUCAGCCACAUUGGGACUGAGACACGGCCCAGACUCCUACGGGAGGCAGCAGUGGGGAAUAUUGCGCAAUGGACGAAAGUCUGACGCAGCGACGCCGCGUGAGGGAGGAAGCUCUUCGGGGUGUAAACCUCUGUUGCCGGGAACGAAACGCCAGAUUCGUCUGGC
rnacentral:rRNA from 1 species